rnacentral:lncRNA from 1 species
AAAGAAAAAACAAGGAUCAGGAAUAUAUAGAGAAGUCUGAAUCACUUUUGAAUUACAACAUAUAACAAUAAUCAUCCAAGUUGGUUAAAGAAAGAAAGAAAGCUCAGUGCACAAAUAUUCAAGUGGUGUCCAAUCCAGUGUUGUGAAAAGCGCGAAGCGAAGUGAAGCGGAAACUUGGUCCCUUAUGUGUGUUGAAGCGUAGCAGGUGUUAGAAGUGACAAUAGCAACAGAAGCGAGAGCUUUAAUGUAUUAAGGCUGCCAACGUUAAAAAUUAAAAAAAGCUCUCUUUUAUCAAAACAAAAACAGCCGAAAACAGGCGACUAGGGUUCCCAUUUUCUGCACUUUUCAAGUUCAAGUUCAUCAAGUUCUCCUCCUCCUCCCUCCUCCUCCUCUUCUUUCACUGUUUGAGUCUCAAAAUAGCAGCGAAAUGCUGCCAAUUUUUUUUUCCCCUUCAGUUCUUUUUCUCAUUCUCUUCUUCUUCUUCUUCUUCUUUUUCUUUCACUGUUUCAUUCUUAAAUUGCAGCAAAAUGCUGCCCCAUUUUUUUCGUUUCAGUUACUGCCAUUUCUUUGCUUACAGUUACAUGUGUUGUCUAUGUAGUAUUUAUUUUAAUAUUUUUUUUAAAAAAUUCCGCUUCACUUCAAAAAAGCGAGCGUUUCGCUUCUCGCUUCACGCUUUAAGCGAAAAGGGGCUUGUCGCUUUUCCUCGCUUCACGCUCCUCACAACACUGGUUCAAUCUAGGUGGAGAAAAGGAGAAUAUUUGUUUUUCUCCUCUGUUUCUUCUAUAGGUACGACAACAUUUUGUUUUUCAAUUCAAAAUGAGAAGAUUAGGAUGCUAUGAAGCAGUUGGGAAGAUGAAGUAAAACAUGAUUCAGAUCUCCUUUUUAUUUACAGAACAGGUAAUGACCUGAGGAAAGUGCGAUUGUUGUUUCUUUCCAGCCCAUUCCAUUUACCGGGAGCCCUGUUGCUGUCCGAAGGGGGGCACCAUCAAUUCUUGAUGCUUGAAAGCAGUUGUUCCAGACAGUUUUCUACACCAUUAUCUAUUCCAACUACUUGAACUUACGCAGGCAUUACGGCCAAAUAUAUAUGAGAAAGUUUGAUUCAUCCCUAUAGAUAUCUUCUCCUUCUGAGUUUUACCACAUGGGGGAAUACAUACCAUAUAAGUUGUACCAGAUAUUCUGUGCUAUGAUACACGUGUUAAUCCU